CUUGUACUCCCUCCGUCCCAAAAAUUUUGUCUUAAAUUUGUCUAAAUAUGGAUGUAUCAAGUCACGUUUUAGUAUUAGGUACAUCCGUAUCUAGACAAAUCUAAGACAAGAAUUUUGGGACGGAGAGAGUAUUAA
rnacentral:pre_miRNA from 1 species